rnacentral:lncRNA from 1 species
UAACAAAGAAAGGUUAAGGAUAAACAAAAGUUCUUAAAGCGAUAGCAAACAAGUAAUGAAUUUGACACUUAGAAUUCACUUUUGCGUGCAGAAAAUCACUUAGACACACAAGGGGGUGAAAUACACAAUAUUUAGGGUCUAAUUUAACUUUUUGGACCCUUUCUUCAACAACCAACACUUGUGAGUUCUUUCUUAUUUUGACCUCUUUGCCAUAAUUAUUUAUUUAUUUUUUUUUUUUGUACCCAAUUCUUGCUUUUGGCACAAAUUCCCACACAUAAAUUCCUUCCCCCACACUUGUUUUUCUGCACAAUAAUAAUCAAAAGGAAUUCAUUCUAAGUCAUGUUCACUAUGCUUUAAGAACAAAGGCAUGGAUGGUCCUAUUCUAGGCUAGGUAAGGAUAACGUGGGUUAACAAAGAACAUAGGCUAAACAAGGCUCAACGGGGCUUAAACCUACAAAACAAAUGAACAUGGGGUGCGGCUAUUUGGUUCUUGGUUUACUAACAACUUCAUCUUGUUAUGUGUUAUGCGAAUCAAUUUUAUGCUUUGAAUGAAACGGGCAUGAGUUCUAGUAUUUGGAACUAAAUGAUGAAACGCCUUCUAAGUAGUAACCAAGCAAAGAAUAAUGAGAUCAUGCAACUACUUUAGAAGACAACAAAUGCACAGAUUAUUAACUCUCCAAAGAACGUUAAAAGCUCAAGUCUCUCAGGGUUGUAGCGUUAGUUUGAGUUUCUUCCUUCAAGCAUGUUACAAAAACUAAUUUUUCUUUUGAUUACAUGUGAAUUCAUGAAUUACAACUAAGCAUAAACGAAAGAGCAUAUCAAACUUUUUCAUCCAUGAUUGUAACUUACUUCAACAGUUAUGCAAUUAAAAACCAAAUCCUCAUCAUUGUGU